rnacentral:rRNA from 1 species
AUUGAACGCUGGCGGCAGGCCUAACACAUGCACGUCGAACGAGUGGCGGACGGGUGAGUAAUGUCUGGGAAACUGCCUGAUGGAGGGGGAUAACUACUGGAAACGGUAGCUAAUACCGCAUACCCUCGGAUGUGCCCAGAUGGGAUUAGCUAGUAGGUGGGGUAACGGCUCACCUAGGCGACGAUCCCUAGCUGGUCUGAGAGGAUGACCAGCCACAAUGGAACUGAGACACGGUCCAGACUCCUACGGUAGGCAGCAGUGGGGAAUAUUGCACAAUUGGCGCAAUCCUGAUGCAGCCAUGCCGCGUGUAUGAAGAAGGCCUUCGGGUUGUAAAGUACUUUCAGCUGGGAGGCGUUACCCGCAGAAGAAGCACCGGCUAACUCCGUGCCAGCAGCCGCGGUAAUUC